rnacentral:misc_RNA from 1 species
GAUGAAGAACGCAGCGAAAUGCGAUAAGUAAUGUGAAUUGCAGAAUUCAGUGAAUCAUCGAAUCUUUGAACGCACAUUGCGCCCGCCAGUAUUCUGGCGGGCAUGCCUGUUCGAGCGUCAUUUCAACCCUCAGUCCCCCAGUGCCUGGUGUUGGGGAUCGGCCCAGCCUUCCUGUAAGGCCGCCGGCCCCGAAAUCUAGUGGCGGUCUCGCUGUAGUCCUCCUCUGCGUAGUAGCACAACCUCGCAGUUGGAACGCGGCGGUGGCCAUGCCGUUAAACACCCCACUUCUGAAAGUUGACCUCGGAUCAGGUAGGAAUACCCGCUGAACUUAAGCAUAUCAAUAAGCGGAGGA